rnacentral:rRNA from 1 species
CCGUAAACGAUGUCGACUUGGGAGGUUGUGCCCUUGAGGGCGUGGGCUUCCCGGAGCUAACGCGUUAAGUCGACCCCCGGGGGAGUACGGCCCGCCAAGGGUUAAAAACUCAAAAUGAAAUUGACGGGGGCCCCGCACAAGCGGUGGAGCAUGUGGUUUAAUUCGAUGCAACGCGAAGACCCUUACCUACUCUUGACAUCCAGAGAACUUAGCAGAGAUGCUUUGGUGCCUUCGGGAACUCUGAGACAGGUGCUGCAUGGCUGUCGUCAGCUCGUGUUGUGAAAUGUUGGGUUAAGUCCCGCAACGAGCGCAACCCUUAUCCUUUGUUGCCAGCGGUUAGGCCGGGAACUCAAAGGAGACUGCCAGUGAUAAACUGGAGGAAGGUGGGGAUGACGUCAAGUCAUCAUGGCCCUUACGAGUAGGGCUACACACGUGCUACAAUGGCGCAUACAAAGAGAAGCGACCUCGCGAGAGCAAGCGGACCUCAUAAAGUGCGUCGUAGUCCGGAUUGGAGUCUGCAACUCGA